rnacentral:rRNA from 1 species
GAUAAUAAGAAUUAAAGUCUGCCUAUAAGGUGUGUACUAGAUUCUUAUUUCCUUCCUUUUGAAUACACUCCCAUCAUUAUCUAAUAAUGAAUGGGACCAAAGUGUUUCAAAAUUUUUACCGUGAAGAAAUUAGAGUGUUCAAAGCAGGCGUAACAUAGCCUUUGAAUAUAUUAGCAUGGGAUAAUGAAAUAGGACUUUAGUUUCCUACUUUCGUUGGUUUCUAGGGCUAAAGUA